AACGAACGCUGGCGGCAGGCUUAACACAUGCAAGUCGAGCGCCCCGCAAGGGGAGCGGCGGACGGGUGAGUAACGCGUGGGAAUCUACCCAUCUCUACGGAAUAACGCAUGGAAACGUGUGCUAAUACCGUAUACGUCCUUCGGGAGAAAGAUUUAUCGGAGAUGGAUGAGCCCGCGUUGGAUUAGCUAGUUGGUGGGGUAAAGGCCUACCAAGGCGACGAUCCAUAGCUGGUCUGAGAGGAUGAUCAGCCACACUGGGACUGAGACACGGCCCAGACUCCUACGGGAGGCAGCAGUGGGGAAUAUUGGACAAUGGGCGCAAGCCUGAUCCAGCCAUGCUGCGUGAGUGAUGAAGGCCCUAGGGUUGUAAAGCUCUUUCACCGGUGAAGAUAAUGACGGUAACCGGAGAAGAAGCCCCGGCUAACUUCGUGCCAGCCGCCGCGGUAAAAC
rnacentral:rRNA from 1 species